ensembl:snRNA U7 U7 small nuclear RNA
UAAAUUUGCUCUUUUAGAAUUUGUCUAGCAGGUUUCUUCUAAAGAGGAAGCCCCC